CUGGAUGUAGAAAACUUUUUUAAUAUAAUCUGGUGGUAAUUGCAUGUGCGGAAACGGCAGACGCGUGACAACAAAACUUCUGUAUACGGGGGACAUGCGAUCAUGCAUAUUAUUGAAGCCCGUGUGAAAAUAUUUGCAGGAGAAGAUGUAUGCAACUUCAGACUCACCGCAGGCUUUUGCUGCUAGAUUUUGCAACAAAAAUACGGAAUCCGCCCAUGGAAGAGAUAAGUUUUUAUUUUAAUUUAAUUUAUCUCACGCACUAAAAAAGAGAUUUAUGUGUUUCAAAAAAAAAAAAA
rnacentral:lncRNA from 1 species